CUGCUCUGGCAGCGACGACAUCUCCUCCACGUCUCUUCAAUAUUUGGCGCGAGCGCUUGCUCGGCCGACCUCUGUUUCCUGUGCUGAAUACCUAUUGCGAGGGCAUUGUGUCUGCUACGUUUGUUCGCUUCCCACCUUGUGCCGCUGCUCCACGUGGGCGUGCGGUGCGGGGCGGGCCAAAUCGCGCGCGUCGUGUGUCUCACCACCUUCGCCCCUAGGGGCGUUCGGGUUGUCUACCCAUCACUUGUGCUCUGCCUCUCCGGUACGGUGCAUCACACGGGUACGAGGCCUUCCCCCUCCCCUACCACAAUCCCCUUUUCUACCCUUCCAGCCAACGACCGUCCGAUCGGUCUUUGGCCGUGCUCUCGCAAGCCCCUUCAAGUCGGGCCCACGUCGAUGAGGAAUGCUACCUGGUUGAUCC
rnacentral:misc_RNA from 1 species